rnacentral:lncRNA from 1 species
UGCUCACCUUAAUUAUGUCUUGAAAAUAUGCAGUAAUUAGGCAUGAUAGUCUUGAGAUGCACUUCUUUCACAACAUCAGGCAUAUGAUGAGCAUUUAACUCACAGAGAUUUUUUUUCAUUAAAAAUGAUUACUCAAGCAUGGUUUUAAUUUUUUUUUUGAGGAAAAAUAUAUACAGGAGUUAAAUCCCUUAGCCUUUAUACAUCUCAGAGGUUCUUUUCUGUGUCAGUUUUGGAUAAGCUAAAAGGCUAGGGAAGGAGUUUGAAAUUGUGUUUUUAACACAGUAUAGAAUUUUUCCAAGUAUUAAUAUUUAUUAAAGGAAGUUUAAUACCUAACUAAUACCAAAUCUAUUUAAUGGUGUAAUACUGUGGCUUUAUAUACUCUUCUCUGGAAUAAGCUAAGGCUUCCUACCAAAAAAAUGCAGGAACUAAUUUCCUUAUCAAAUUGUGGGGCAAAGACAGGCGAUAUUUAAUUUUUCUUUCUAACCACUAUCUUAAAGAUUAUUGUGAAAACACAGCAUCUUCAUGCUGCUGAAUGAUAUGGGGCAUGUCUCUAUCUUGGGAAUAGAUACAGCUGAUUAAAAUCUUGUUUCUCUCCUCUCUGUUCCUCCCUCCCUCUUUCUCACAGUACACCCACGUUGUUGUAUACAUUGUCCAGUACUGAUAUUUUACUGUUUUUAAGGGCUAGCCACAUCAGCAGCUGUUACUAGACUCUUCAAUGGCAGAACAUGAAGGAGAGGAACUGCAAAAACCCUCCCAGGUCUAAUUGACUUGGAUGCUUCCCACAACUUCAGAAUAGCAAAACCUCUGGUCUGCUCGUCAAGAGGAAANNAAGAUGACUUGUUAAAAUACAGGCACCAAUUUCUCUGCUUCUGGUGUUCACUAAAGCUCAGACACUGGGAUUUCAUUGCUGGGCAAAUCCAGGAACAUUGGUAAUUUUGUGGCUCAAUACAGUAGAGACCAACACCCGAAGUGCUUCAUGUUAAGUCUUCUGAGCAGUGUGGACAACACAGAUCUUGGAUGAGCAAGUAGAAAUAGUUUGGUAAGUUGUUUAUCACUGAUAGUAAGGAACAGACUAUAUCCACUAUAUUAUUGAACAUGCAAUUUAUAGAUGUAUCAUGGGUUUUAGUAGUAUUUUGACUAAUUUUCAGUGUGCGUUUUUGUUUGCU